AUGAGAUUGGGAGAGGAUGAGAGGGGAGGAUGGGAGGGAGGAGUAACAAAAGUGAAAACAAUUUCAAAUAGAUUUCAGUUUUUAGUUUUUAUUUUCACUUUUGUUAAUCCUCCUUCCCAUCCUCCCUUCUCAUUUUCCCUCUCAAUUCCAUC
rnacentral:miRNA from 1 species